rnacentral:rRNA from 1 species
GAUGAACGCUGGCGGCGUGCCUAAUACAUGCAAGUCGAGCGAACAGAUGAGGAGCUUGCUCCUCUGACGUUAGCGGCGGACGGGUGAGUAACACGUGGAUAACCUACCUAUAAGACUGGGAUAACUUCGGGAAACCGGAGCUAAUACCGGAUAAUAUAUUGAACCGCAUGGUUCAAUAGUGAAAGACGGUUUUGCUGUCACUUAUAGAUGGAUCCGCGCCGCAUUAGCUAGUUGGUAAGGUAACGGCUUACCAAGGCAACGAUGCGUAGCCGACCUGAGAGGGGGAUCGGCCACACUGGAACUGAGACACGGUCCAGACUCCUACGGGAGGCAGCAGUAGGGAAUCUUCCGCAAUGGGCGAAAGCCUGACGGAGCAACGCCGCGUGAGUGAUGAAGGGCUUCGGAUCGUAAAACGCUGUUAUUAGGGAAGAACAAAUGUGUAAGUAACUAUGCACGUCUUGACGGUACCUAAUCAGAAAGCCACGGCUAACUACGU